CACGAGUUGGACUUUAGGUUUUGAGCUCAAACAUGUCAUGAUAAGUGGUGAUGAUCAUGUUAAGGUUAAUCCAUGAAAGUAAGCCCCAAUUUAAACUUGGAUAAUACAUUUUUGCUUACAUAUAGACCCAUAUACACUUGCUCUGGGUCCACAUGUCAGCACAUAUCACACAUAUAUAUAUAUACCCCAGCCCUCCACACUCCCUCUCUCAAUCCCCCAUUUGUCCCAACGCCAAGCACCAGGAAACAGAGGGAGAGAGGAAAAGGAGAGGAGAGGAGAAGAAGAAGAGGAGAGGAGAAGAAGGAGGAGGACGCCCAGCCCUUGCUGGAGGAUGACACCAGUGAUGAGCUGCUGCUCCCCACGCCCUCAGCCUUGCCAAAGAUGGUGAAGACAGCCCCAAGCUUCAUCUUCUUCAAGCUUAAGCCAUGGAGGAGUCCCCAUCUCGAUCUCCUUCCUUGCUGUGUUCCUAGCUGAACUACUCCUACUGGAGCAUCCCAAGACCGUGGUGAGCACAUCCCAAAAGCCCAUCUCCAUCUUCCCCAUCUCCCCCUCCCUUUACUGCAGAAAGCAGCAACCCUGCUCCAGUGUCCAAUGGUCUUCCAUGAAGAUUGGUCUUCCCCACCUCUUCCUGCUUCCCUAGGGUUUGUGGGUGACCAUGAUUUUCUUGGGGAAGAAAUCAAGACAACUUAGAAGAUGAAAUAGGUGUUUUCGUCAACUACAAAGUUGUAGAGGACCUUCAGAUCUACUAGCUCGUGAAAUAUCAUGAUUUUAUCCCAUCAGGUCUUGUCUAUGCUUUGGACAGAGAUGUCUUCAUGGGGUUAAUUGACCUUGUUAACUAUGAAAUCAUCUUAAGAUGAUAAUAAUAAAGUUGUAGGUAACUUUAUAAGCUUUCUACGAAGUUAAUAAUCAUGUUUGUUGGAGGUCUACAACUCCAGUUAUGCUUGUUUAAAGUGUCUAUCAGUUUUCCACCUAUAAUUGUACCCUACUGUUUGGGGCAACAUGAGCAGUCCUGAUUGUGCAAUGAAUUUCAUAGUAUAAAUUAUGUUUGCUGUGAAACUUGUCUAUACAAAAGUUGUAGAUAACUCUUUCAUAUAGCUUUUGUUAGAGUUUCAUAUCAUUUGGACAAAUGGUUUCUGAGUUAUAAGGGUAUUAAGUUUAUCUGUCAAAAUGCUUGAUCUCUGGAAUUCCUG